GGAGGUUUUUCUUAUGAGGGACUUGAGCUGCUCCGUCUGCUUUCUGGAUCCCUUCAUCUUGUCUGGACGCUGGCAUCGAGAUGUUGUGAAAUUCCAAGGGGACGUAUGUCUUGGCCCGUCAGAGGCGGCUGGCUGCCAGGACUCCUCUCAGCUCGCUCCCCGAAGACCCCUGGCUCCACAGAAACAGGAAAUGACACCUCCAUCAGAGUGA
rnacentral:lncRNA from 1 species